CAGAACAUAUUCAGUGACGAGGAGCACUAUUCACUUCUUGUCUUUUGUUGCUGUAAAUGAAAUAAAAUGGAGGCCUUAGUAUUCAUCAUAGCUUUGCUGUUUGCAUUUAAAUAUGCUCAUUGUGACAUCACACUGACAGAGUCUGCUCCACAGAUGAAGAAGCCUGGAGAUUCCGUGAGGCUCUCCUGCAAAAUUACUGGAUUCUCACUCAGCAGCGACAGUGUGCACUGGGUUCGACAGGCUCCAAACAAAGGGCUGCAAUGGGUCGGAUAUUACCGCGGUUCUUCUGACGAUCGUUUCAAAGUUACAGAAGAUUCAUCCAACAGCAUUGCUUACUUAGACAUCACCGAUCUCCAGUCCUCAGACACAGCUGUGUAUUACUGUGCCCGAGAGACACAGUGAAAGAGUUUAAGGGCCAGCUGUACAAAAACCCUCCACAGACCAUUUAGCAGGCAAUGUGUGACUGGCUGUGCUGUGUGGCCUAAAGACAUUAUCUGUUAUUGUUUUUCUCCUGGAUUUCCACCAUAAGGCUUCAUCACACAUUUUUAAACAAAGUUGAAAUUAAUUUAAGAAAAUAAAAAAUACAUUUAAUCCAACUUAAUUAUAUGUGUUAAAUUAUUCCUCUAUAUUAAGCUCGCAGUGGAUUCAAAGUGAACAAUAGCUUGAGUAACAAGCGAAAGUUUGUAAAACACAAAAACUGCAGACUUUGGCAUGAUUACACAAUGGGGAUAUAGACGCAGGAGCAUGUUUUCUUUAUAAUAUUUUAUGGGAUAUAUGAUUUACAAAACAAGCUCCUGAAUCAAAACCCUUGAACAUAAUGCAUAUACACUUCAACAUUAUGGCAAUAAACAACACAAACUUUUAAUUAGUCCUUUAUUAUUUUCAUUUUAUAAAUGGUAAUAACAUAAUCAUUCAUUCCACUGAGAUUUCUUAAACACAUAAUCAUCCUAAUUUGCAUAAGCUGGGUUGCAAUGUUGGUGCACAGACAUGCAUAUUUAACUAGACAGGCAAGCACACCUUCAGCUAACCUAAUCUUGUGACGCCCCAGAAGUAAGCCAGUACUGCACAUGUUGAGUGCAAAACACUGGGGCUCCCAUUGAAGUGAAUGAGGAAUAUCAGACUUUUGAAGGCAAAAUAAAACUUUCCAGAUGAUAU